rnacentral:lncRNA from 1 species
GUACCUAAAAAUUACAUGUAUUUUACAGGUAUUUGAAUUAUAGAGUCAAACCGCUCAGGACCUGAAAAGAACCAAUCCAAACCUAAACCAAAAAAAAUAAAUACCUAGUUAUGUCCAAAUAUUUAGGACCGAAAUGAACCUGACCUGCUGACUGAGAUCAGACCUACACUCUCUGAUUGUAAAACAUAUGAUCUUUAAGGUGGUUUACUCUCAAAACAAGUAGCCUUGACAUUGCACAUAAUAUAUCUAAGAAAGGGACCAACUCAUGCAUACAAUGCUCAAUCUCCAUUGUUCUACCCUUUUCCCAAACAUACAAUUACACAAUCAUUCCCAAAUGUCAAACCCAACUCACAUCUCUCACCAAAAGAUCUUAAGAACUUUAACUCUUUCUUUUUGAAAUCUACAAGGGAUUUUUCUACAACCUCAAAACAUUUCUUAGCUCCUAACAACUUUGCUAGCCCCCUUUUCUUUCUUUUCUUUUUUUUUUUUCGAUUUCUUUUUUUUUUAUAUAUAUUUUUUUUUUAGGUUGGGGGCCAAGACUUUUCAAAACUAGAGCUAGAGGUUCUCUACUUAUCCCAGAAAAUCAAUUCACUUAAGCACAAAGAGUCUAUCCUUUUUAUUUUUCAUUUCUCCCAAAUCAUGAUCACAACACUCACCCUCCCACCUAUAGCUAGACAAAAGAGUGUCCAAUCUAGCAAAAAUGAAGAUCAAGCAUUGUCGUUCCCGAUACUCUCAACAUUAUGUGCAUGUAAGACUUUCCGAAGAAGGCCUCACUCAUCAAACAAUGAAAGCUUAAAAGGAAGGAAAGGUUUUGGGAGUGGUCUACCACUAGAGUUUGUCAAAAAGAUUGGCAUAAAAGAUGUGACAACUCCAGUGUGUAUAGCCAUGACUCAGUACACAAGGGACCCUAAGCAAGAAGCAUUAAGUUCAUUCAUUUCUAAUAAAGUUGUAGUUGGCUUCAAAGACUGAGUUUCAGCAAUCAACAAGUUUCAGGAAGAGUUUUCAAGGCUCGAAACAUACAAGUCUUUUUGAGAGGUGCAAAAGCUAGUCAAGUGCAACGUAGUGUUCUUUACAAGGCAUUCAAAUCAUUGCUCCCAAUGCAAAUGAAUGCAACCUAUAUGCUCUAGACUCUCUUAAAAAUGCAAAUGAUGCAAACUAAAUGAUUGAUUUUUUUUUUAUCUAUGCAAAUAGGUAUGCCAUGCAUAACUCAAUGAAACAACAUCAAAGCAAACAUGAUCAAAUACUUGGUACCUCCCCCAAACUUGAGUGACACAGUCUCUGUGUCGUCAAGUAGAGAGAGAGAUACCGAAAAGAAGACUAAUAUGCAAAAAUGAAAUGGUAUAUACAAGGGAGUGUGGUGGGUUACCUUCUAUAGGGAAUGAGUAGAGGGAGAUGCUCCCUCCUCGUCGUCCUCAGGUGGUAACUCUUCAAGGUGCUCAUCAGCAGGAGUGCCCAUCUCUUCAAUGUAGAAGGCUUGCCCGAACACAGUUGGUUUCCUCAUUUUCCUCUUGAUGUCAAAGUGAAGGAUGUUCUCUUUACCCAAAUGGAGAUCAAUCGUGCCCUCCUUCACAUUAACAAUAGCUCCUGCUGUAGCUAAGAAUGGCCUUCCUAGAAUCAAUGGAUCUUGAGCCUCCUCACCCAUCUCAAGCACCACAAAAUCUGUAGGUAUCUCAUACCUUCCAAUCUUCACAGGGAGGUCCUCUAAGAUGCCCACAGGAUACUUCACUGAACGAUCAGCUAACACCAGAGAGAGUCUACACUUCUUGUACUGAGUGAAUCCAAGCUUCUUUGCAACAGACAAAGGCAUCAAGCUGACACUAGCUCCCAAAUCGCAGAGACAUUUCUCAAAUACCAUAGGUCCAAGAGCACAAGGUAGUGUGAAGCUUCCUGGAUCCUCUAACUUCUCGGGAACAUCCAGCCUCUGGAUGAUGGCACUGCACUCAUGGGUAAGAAUCAUCAUGCCUUCCAUCUCCUUCUUCUUUGCAGCUACAGCAUCUUUCAAGAACUUGUUGUAUUGAGGAGUCAACAUGAAAGCAUCGAUGAUGGGCAUUGCAGCCUGAGCUUCACUCAUUUGUUUCUCAAACAUAGUCUUGUACUUCUCUAGCAGCUGCUUCUUGAAUCUACCAGGGAAUGGAAGUUUGGAUUCAUAGGGAGGAGGAACAAAAGAACUUUCACUUGCUGGAGUAACAACUUCACCAUCCUUUACUGUCUUCUUCUCCUCUCCAACCUUUCCUUUACCUUUGGCUUCCACUAUCUUCUCCAAGAUCUCGUCAUUGAUCUUCUCAUCAACAAUCACCACUUCAUCAUCUAUGUUGAUGGCAACCCCCUCACCUAAUUUCUCAGCAUCCUUGGUGAGGGUUCUAGGAGGUAACUGCUUACCACUCCUAAGUGUGAUAGCUUUGGCCUCCUUGGGAUUUUGGUCAGACUUUCCAGGUAGAGAUCCUUGCUGGCGAUUCUGGUGAGUGUUCAUGGAAGCAAAUUGAUUCUCUAAAUUCCUGACUGUGGAAGCAAGGUGUGAGAAUUUGUUGUUGAGCUCAUUGUAGCUCCCAUCAAUCUUGGAAUGAAGGUUCUUCAACUCAUAACCAACUUGCUUCUCACUUCUAGUCUGAGACUCCAAGAUUUGCUUCAGUAAGGUAUCAGUGCUGCUCUCUUGAGGAGCAGAGGAACCAGACGAGGGAUUUUGCUGAGGCUGAUAGCUUCCUUGCUGGUUGUUUCUUGGCGGAUAGCCACUCUGUUGGUUGUUGGGAUAGGAUUUCUGUUGGUAGUUGUUGUACUGAAAGUUGGGCUCCUUUUUGUACCAGCUACCAUUGUUGUUGAUGAAACACAACUCCUCUUGACCUUCCAAACCUUCAACCUCAUUGACAGCAAGUGGAUCUUCCUGCUUGGAGUUACCAACAAACUUCAGCUGCUCUUGGGUUGCUUUUUCAGCAAUGAGUAGGUCGAUCUUAUCUUCCAAAGCUUUGAUCUCUUUCCUCGUCUGCUUAUCAUUUGUUCUACUGCCUCUGUCGUGGUCUCCACUGUAGACUGCAUCACUCUUUACCAUGUUGUCAACCAGUUCUUCUGCAUCCUCCUCAGUUCUCCCCAAGAAGAACCCAUUGCUAGCUGUAUCCAGUCUGGCUCUGUACUUAGGAAGAGCACCACGGUAGAAUGUGCUCAGCAAGCUCUCCUUAGAAAAGCCAUGGUGUGGGCAUUGAGCUUGGUAGCCCUUGAAUCUCUCCCAGGCUUCACUGAAGCCUUCCAAGUUCUUCUGUUGAAAGCUGGAAAUCUCGUUUCUCAGCUUAGCAGUUCUUGAAGUAGAGAAGAACUUCUCCAAGAAUGCUUUCUUGCAGUCAUCCCAAGUAGUGAUGGAGUCACUGGGUAGAGACUUCUCCCACUGACGUGCCUUAUCCCCCAAAGAGAAAGGGAAUAGCUUGAGCUUUAAGACAUCUUCGGACACACCAUUGGUUUUUGACAACCCACAGUAGCUGUCGAACCUGUCCAAGUGAUCAAAUGGAUCCUCUAGAGCCAAGCCAUGAUACUUGUUGUUCUCGAUCACGUUAAGGAGUCCUGAUUUGAUCUCAAAGUUGUUGGCUGCCACAGCGGGUGCUCGGAUUCCCAAUCUAUGACCAUGAAUGUUUGGACGGUCGUAAGUGCCAAUGGGUCGAGCUGCUCGCUGUUGGUUAGGUGGGCCAUUGUUGUUAGCGCCAUUGACGCCUGCAUCUUCUUGAUGAACGUCUCCCAUGUCAGUGUUCAGUCUCUGCAAUUGAGCCUGAUGUUCUUCUUCUCUUCUCUUUCUAGUACACUCUCUCUCUAAAGCCCUGAUGUCUGCUGCUCUUGGAACUAGGUUUGAUGGACCCCUGCUCCUCAAGUUCAUACACCUGUAGAUUAAAGGGAGGUGAAGAAGAGUCAGUAACAAAAGAAAAUAAAAAUGACUUAGUCUCAAGCAAGUGACUAAAUCUCAAUGUUAAAAUCUACUCAGAAUUUGGUAACGGCGCCAAUUUGAUGUUAGGAGUUUUCAAGGCUCCUAAGACAAAUGUUGUAGUAUAGAUGAUUGUCGAACCAGUUCUGAGGGAUAUCAAAGCACUGAGAAUGCAAGUACUCACUUAAUCUAAGUGCAACCAAUGAUUUAGAUGAGUUUUAAACUACUACUAAUACUAGAAAGCAAUAACAGAAUGAUACUUUCUUGACUAAAGGAAAAGAGAACUCAUGGGUAUAGGGAUUAGACCUUGGGUGAUCAAGUAUCGAACUAAGGAUGGCAAAUGAUCAAUCAAACUAUCAACCUUAAGCCUAGACACAAUUCUAAGCAAGCUCUAUGUCUAGAUGAAUGCUCAUUUGCUAACAUAUCUCAAACAUCAAAUGUCUUUGGUUGAAUAAUAUGAAAGCAAUCAUUACUAACAAGUCUAUUAGCUAUCUUAGCAUCUUUAACAACAAAUGUCUUUGGCAAAGUAUACUAAAAGCCUAGGAGAGUUGUCUCAGGCAUUUCAUCAAACACCUUUUGGGUGGGAAAUGUCUAUUGAUCAACUUUUGAGUGGCCAACUCAGAAGAUGCAUUAUGAAUACUCUACUAGCAAGGAACAAGAAUGAUCUACACUAAAACAUCCUAGAACUAACCUAAUCACCCUUAAUCUCCCUAACCCAUGAAUUCAAAAGGUGAUUACUCACUAAUCUCCAUGAUUCCUCUUAAACCCAUAUUGGAUUUUAGAUUAACCAUGUAGAGAAAUAGAUAAGAAAUCAACAAGAACACAAGAUGAAAGCAAUGAAAUCUGAAUCUAAAGAGGUUUUUUAUUAGUUCUUCCCUAGAAAAGAGAUUAUCUUGCCUCCGAUGGCUUACAAAGUACUUAACUUAGGUUUAGAAAGUGUAAAACAUCAAAAAAAAUGACCAAAAGGCCCCUGAAAUAACAUAAAAAUCGUCCAAGCAAAACACGCGGAGCGACCUAGCAUAGUCGCUCCAGGAGGUCGCUCCCGACGCGUUUUUUUGUGUCUCGACGCGUCAAAACGCGAGUGACUUGAGCUGGUCGCUCUGGCUGGUCGCUCUGGCUGGGAGUGACUUGAGGUAGUCGCUCUGGACUGGUCGCUCUGGCUGGGAGCGACUUCGGUAGGUCGCUCUGAGAGGUCACUCUGCGAUGCUCGACCAGGAUGGAUAUGCCUCUAGUAAAUUGAUCAUAACUCCUUCAUUACAUCUCCAAAUGACUUGAAACCACUUCCAUUAGAAAGCUAACUCAAUUUUCUAUGUCUCCACAAAAUCUUAGCAACAGAAGAUUUCUCUAAAGGCUCCAUCCAUGCUCAUAUUUCACCCCCUUUUGGAUCACAAUGCUCCCAAACAUCUCAAAUCACUCCAUGGCACACUCCAGCACCUAAUAAGGACAAUGAAUGCAAAAUGCAACCUAGACAUGGCUAAAUCCUAAUCUAUAUGAUGAAAAUGCUCAUGGAUGAAUGGAUAAAACAAUGUAAAUAUGCAAGAUAUCAACUCCCCCAAACUUGUUCUUUUACUUGUCCACAAGUGAACUUUUAGAACUCAUAGGGAGAGAGGUUGAAGGUGGGAGCACAUAGCCAAAAGAAACACAACUAGCACACUCUCUUAUUACACUCUAGCUUCUCUAGGCCUAUCUUAACUCUUUUUGUUCUUACACUCAUCAUCAAGCAUCCACACAUUCAAAUCAACCAACUCUCACAUUCAUUAAGCACAAAACAUCAGGUGAAUUCUUGCAAAUGGUCAGUUGGUCCAAGUCAUUUGGUUGGGUAAGGGAAGGCUUUUAUUCAAGUGAUUCAAGAGGUUCAAAACAUAUGAUCUUUAAGGUGGUUUACUCUCAAAACAAGUAGCCUUGACAUUGCACAUAAUAUAUCUAAGAAAGGGACCAACUCAUGCAUACAAUGCUCAAUCUCCAUUGUUCUACCCUUUUCCCAAACAUACAAUUACACAAUCAUUCCCAAAUGUCAAACCCAACUCACAUCUCUCACCAAAAGAUCUUAAGAACUUUAACUCUUUCUUUUUGAAAUCUACAAGGGAUUUUUCUACAACCUCAAAACAUUUCUUAGCUCCUAACAACUUUGCUAGCCCCCUUUUCUUUCUUUUCUUUUUUUUUUUUCGAUUUCUUUUUUUUUUAUAUAUUUUUUUUUUUAGGUUGGGGGCCAAGACUUUUCAAAACUAGAGCUAGAGGUUCUCUACUUAUCCCAGAAAAUCAAUUCACUUAAGCACAAAGAGUCUAUCCUUUUUAUUUUUCAUUUCUCCCAAAUCAUGAUCACAACACUCACCCUCCCACCUAUAGCUAGACAAAAGAGUGUCCAAUCUAGCAAAAAUGAAGAUCAAGCAUUGUCGUUCCGAUACUCUCAACAUUAUGUGCAUGUAAGACUUUCCGAAGAAGGCCUCACUCAUCAAACAAUGAAAGCUUAAAAGGAAGGAAAGGUUUUGGGAGUGGUCUACCACUAGAGUUUGUCAAAAAGAUUGGCAUAAAAGAUGUGACAACUCCAGUGUGUAUAGCCAUGACUCAGUACACAAGGGACCCUAAGCAAGAAGCAUUAAGUUCAUUCAUUUCUAAUAAAGUUGUAGUUGGCUUCAAAGACUGAGUUUCAGCAAUCAACAAGUUUCAGGAAGAGUUUUCAAGGCUCGAAACAUACAAGUCUUUUUGAGAGGUGCAAAAGCUAGUCAAGUGCAACGUAGUGUUCUUUACAAGGCAUUCAAAUCAUUGCUCCCAAUGCAAAUGAAUGCAACCUAUAUGCUCUAGACUCUCUUAAAAAUGCAAAUGAUGCAAACUAAAUGAUUGAUUUUUUUUUUUUAUCUAUGCAAAUAGGUAUGCCAUGCAUAACUCAAUGAAACAACAUCAAAGCAAACAUGAUCAAAUACUUGGUACCUCCCCCAAACUUGAGUGACACAGUCUCUGUGUCGUCAAGUAGAGAGAGAGAUACCGAAAAGAAGACUAAUAUGCAAAAAUGAAAUGGUAUAUACAAGGGAGUGUGGUGGGUUACCUUCUAUAGGGAAUGAGUAGAGGGAGAUGCUCCCUCCUCGUCGUCCUCAGGUGGUAACUCUUCAAGGUGCUCAUCAGCAGGAGUGCCCAUCUCUUCAAUGUAGAAGGCUUGCCCGAACACAGUUGGUUUCCUCAUUUUCCUCUUGAUGUCAAAGUGGAGGAUGUUCUCUUUACCCAAAUGGAGAUCAAUCGUGCCCUCCUUCACAUUAACAAUAGCUCCUGCUGUAGCUAAGAAUGGCCUUCCUAGAAUCAAUGGAUCUUGAGCCUCCUCACCCAUCUCAAGCACCACAAAAUCUGUAGGUAUCUCAUACCUUCCAAUCUUCACAGGGAGGUCCUCUAAGAUGCCCACAGGAUACUUCACUGAACGAUCAGCUAACACCAGAGAGAGUCUACACUUCUUGUACUGAGUGAAUCCAAGCUUCUUUGCAACAGACAAAGGCAUCAAGCUGACACUAGCUCCCAAAUCGCAGAGACAUUUCUCAAAUACCAUAGGUCCAAGAGCACAAGGUAGUGUGAAGCUUCCUGGAUCCUCUAACUUCUCGGGAACAUCCAGCCUCUGGAUGAUGGCACUGCACUCAUGGGUAAGAAUCAUCAUGCCUUCCAUCUCCUUCUUCUUUGCAGCUACAGCAUCUUUCAAGAACUUGUUGUAUUGAGGAAUCAACAUGAAAGCAUCGAUGAUGGGCAUUGCAGCCUGAGCUUCACUCAUUUGUUCUCAAACAGAGUCUUGUACUUCUCUAGCAGCUGCUUCUUGAAUCUACCAGGGAAUGGAAGUUUGGAUUCAUAGGGAGGAGGAACAAAAGAACUUUCACUUGCUGGAGUAACAACUUCACCAUCCUUUACUGUCUUCUUCUCCUCUCCAACCUUUCCUUUACCUUUGGCUUCCACUAUCUUCUCCAAGAUCUCGUCAUUGAUCUUCUCAUCAACAAUCACCACUUCAUCAUCUAUGUUGAUGGCAACCCCCUCACCUAAUUUCUCAGCAUCCUUGGUGAGGGUUCUAGGAGGUAACUGCUUACCACUCCUAAGUGUGAUAGCUUUGGCCUCCUUGGGAUUUUGGUCAGACUUUCCAGGUAGAGAUCCUUGCUGGCGAUUCUGGUGAGUGUUCAUGGAAGCAAAUUGAUUCUCUAAAUUCCUGACUGUAGAAGCAAGGUGUGAGAAUUUGUUGUUGAGCUCAUUGUAGCUCCCAUCAAUCUUGGAAUGAAGGUUCUUCAACUCAUAACCAACUUGCUUCUCACUUCUAGUCUGAGACUCCAAGAUUUGCUUCAGUAAGGUAUCAGUGCUGCUCUCUUGAGGAGCAGAGGAACCAGACGAGGGAUUUUGCUGAGGCUGAUAGCUUCCUUGCUGGUUGUUUCUUGGCGGAUAGCCACUCUGUUGGUUGUUGGGAUAGGAUUUCUGUUGGUAGUUGUUGUACUGAAAGUUGGGCUCCUUUUUGUACCAGCUACCAUUGUUGUUGAUGAAACACAACUCCUCUUGACCUUCCAAACCUUCAACCUCAUUGACAGCAAGUGGAUCUUCCUGCUUGGAGUUACCAACAAACUUCAGCUGCUCUUGGGUUGCUUUUUCAGCAAUGAGUAGGUCGAUCUUGUCUUCCAAAGCUUUGAUCUCUUUCCUCGUCUGCUUAUCAUUGUUCUACUGCCUCUGUCGUGGUCUCCACUGUAGACUGCAUCACUCUUUACCAUGUUGUCAACCAGUUCUUCUGCAUCCUCCUCAGUUCUCCCCAAGAAGAACCCAUUGCUAGCUGUAUCCAGUCUGGCUCUGUACUUAGGAAGAGCACCACGGUAGAAUGUGCUCAGCAAGCUCUCCUUAGAAAAGCCAUGGUGUGGGCAUUGAGCUUGGUAGCCCUUGAAUCUCUCCCAGGCUUCACUGAAGCCUUCCAAGUUCUUCUGUUGAAAGCUGGAAAUCUCGUUUCUCAGCUUAGCAGUUCUUGAAGUAGAGAAGAACUUCUCCAAGAAUGCUUUCUUGCAGUCAUCCCAAGUAGUGAUGGAGUCACUGGGUAGAGACUUCUCCCACUGACGUGCCUUAUCCCCCAAAGAGAAAGGGAAUAGCUUGAGCUUUAAGGCAUCUUCGGACACACCAUUGGUUUUUGACAACCCACAGUAGCUGUCGAACCUGUCCAAGUGAUCAAAUGGAUCCUCUAGAGCCAAGCCAUGAUACUUGUUGUUCUCGAUCACGUUGAGGAGUCCUGAUUUGAUCUCAAAGUUGUUGGCUGCCACAGCGGGUGCUCGGAUUCCCAAUCUAUGACCAUGAAUGUUGGACGGUCGUAAGUGCCAAUGGGUCGAGCUGCUCGCUGUUGGUUAGGUGGGCCAUUGUUGUUAGCGCCAUUGACGCCUGCAUCUUCUUGAUGAACGUCUCCCAUGUCAGUGUUCAGUCUCUGCAAUUGAGCCUGAUGUUCUUCUUCUCUUCUCUUUCUAGCACACUCUCUCUCUAAAGCCCUGAUGUCUGCAGCUCUUGGAACUAGGUUUGAUGGACCCCUGCUCCUCAAGUUCAUACACCUGUAGAUUAAAGGGAGGUGAAGAAGAGUCAGUAACAAAAGAAAAUAAAAAUGACUUAGUCUCAAGCAAGUGACUAAAUCUCAAUGUUAAAAUCUACUCAGAAUUUGGCAACGGCGCCAAUUUGAUGUUAGGAGUUUUCAAGGCUCCUAAGACAAAUGUUGUAGUAUAGAUGAUUGUCGAACCAGUUCUGAGGGAUAUCAAAGCACUGAGAAUGCAAGUACUCACUUAAUCUAAGUGCAACCAAUGAUUUAGAUGAGUUUUAAACUACUACUAAUACUAGAAAGCAAUAACAGAAUGAUACUUUCUUGACUAAAGGAAAAGAGAACUCAUGGGCAUAGGGAUUAGACCUUGGGUGAUCAAGUAUCGAACUAAGGAUGGCAAAUGAUCAAUCAAACUAUCAACCUUAAGCCUAGACACAAUUCUAAGCAAGCUCUAUGUCUAGAUGAAUGCUCAUUUGCUAACAUAUCUCAAACAUCAAAUGUCUUUGGUUGAAUAAUAUGAAAGCAAUCAUUACUAACAAGUCUAUUAGCUAUCUUAGCAUCUUUAACAACAAAUGUCUUUGGCAAAGUAUACUAAAAGCCUAGGAGAGUUGUCUCAGGCAUUUCAUCAAACACCUUUUGGGUGGGAAAUGUCUAUUGAUCAACUUUUGAGUGGCCAACUCAGAAGAUGCAUUAUGAAUACUCUACUAGCAAGGAACAAGAAUGAUCUACACUAAAACAUCCUAGAACUAACCUAAUCACCCUUAAUCUCCCUAACCCAUGAAUUCAAAAGGUGAUUACUCACUAAUCUCCAUGAUUCCUCUUAAACCCAUAUUGGAUUUUAGAUUAACCAUGUAGAGAAAUAGAUAAGAAAUCAACAAGAACACAAGAUGAAAGCAAUGAAAUCUGAAUCUAAAGAGGUUUUUUAUUAGUUCUUCCCUAGAAAAGAGAUUAUCUUGCCUCCGAUGGCUUACAAAGUACUUAACUUAGGUUUAGAAAGUGUAAAACAUCAAAAAAAAUGACCAAAAGGCCCCUGAAAUAACAUAAAAAUCGUCCAAGCAAAACACGCGGAGCGACCUAGCAUAGUCGCUCCAGGAGGUCGCUCCCGACGCGUUUUUUUGUGUCUCGACGCGUCAAAACGCGAGUGACUUGAGCUGGUCGCUCUGGCUGGUCGCUCUGGCUGGGAGUGACUUGAGGUAGUCGCUCUGGACUGGUCGCUCUGGCUGGGAGCGACUUCGGUAGGUCGCUCUGAGAGGUCACUCUGCGAUGCUCGACCAGGAUGGAUAUGCCUCUAGUAAAUUGAUCAUAACUCCUUCAUUACAUCUCCAAAUGACUUGAAACCACUUCCAUUAGAAAGCUAACUCAAUUUUCUAUGUCUCCACAAAAUCUUAGCAACAGAAGAUUUCUCUAAAGGCUCCAUCCAUGCUCAUAUUUCACCCCCUUUUGGAUCACAAUGCUCCCAAACAUCUCAAAUCACUCCAUGGCACACUCCAGCACCUAAUAAGGACAAUGAAUGCAAAAUGCAACCUAGACAUGGCUAAAUCCUAAUCUAUAUGAUGAAAAUGCUCAUGGAUGAAUGGAUAAAACAAUGUAAAUAUGCAAGAUAUCAACUCCCCCAAACUUGUUCUUUUACUUGUCCACAAGUGAACUUUUUAGAACUCAUAGGGAGAGAGGUUGAAGGUGGGAGCACAUAGCCAAAAGAAACACAACUAGCACACUCUCUUAUUACACUCUAGCUUCUCUAGGCCUAUCUUAACUCUUUUUGUUCUUACACUCAUCAUCAAGCAUCCACACAUUCAAAUCAACCAACUCUCACAUUCAUUAAGCACAAAACAUCAGGUGAAUUCUUGCAAAUGGUCAGUUGGUCCAAGUCAUUUGGUUGGGUAAGGGAAGGCUUUUAUUCAAGUGAUUCAAGAGGUUCAAAACAUAUGAUCUUUAAGGUGGUUUACUCUCAAAACAAGUAGCCUUGACAUUGCACAUAAUAUAUCUAAGAAAGGGACCAACUCAUGCAUACAAUGCUCAAUCUCCAUUGUUCUACCCUUUUCCCAAACAUACAAUUACACAAUCAUUCCCAAAUGUCAAACCCAACUCACAUCUCUCACCAAAAGAUCUUAAGAACUUUAACUCUUUCUUUUUGAAAUCUACAAGGGAUUUUUCUACAACCUCAAAAUAUUUCUUAGCUCCUAACAACUUUGCUAGCCCCCUUUUCUUUCUUUUUUUUUUUUUUUUCGAUUUCUUUUUUUUUAUAUAUAUUUUUUUUUUAGGUUGGGGGCCAAGACUUUUCAAAACUAGAGCUAGAGGUUCUCUACUUAUCCCAGAAAAUCAAUUCACUUAAGCACAAAGAGUCUAUCCUUUUUAUUUUUCAUUUCUCCCAAAUCAUGAUCACAACACUCACCCUCCCACCUAUAGCUAGACAAAAGAGUGUCCAAUCUAGCAAAAAUGAAGAUCAAGCAUUGUCGUUCCCGAUACUCUCAACAUUAUGCGCAUGUAAGACUUUCCGAAGAAGGCCUCACUCAUCAAACAAUGAAAGCUUAAAAGGAAGGAAAGGUUUUGGGAGUGGUCUAUCACUAGAGUUUGUCAAAAAGAUUGGCAUAAAAGAUGUGACAACUCCAGUGUGUAUAGCCAUGACUUAGUACACAAGGGACCCUAAGCAAGAAGCAUUAAGUUCAUUCAUUUCUAAUAAAGUUGUAGUUGGCUUCAAAGACUGAGUUUCAGCAAUCAACAAGUUUCAGGAAGAGUUUUCAAGGCUCGAAACAUACAAGUCUUUUUGAGAGGUGCAAAAGCUAGUCAAGUGCAACGUAGUGUUCUUUACAAGGCAUUCAAAUCAUUUCUCCCAAUGCAAAUGAAUGCAACCUAUAUGCUCUAGACUCUCUUAAAAAUGCAAAUGAUGCAAACUAAAUGAUUGAUUUUUUUUUUUUUUUUAUCUAUGCAAAUAGGUAUGCCAUGCAUAACUCAAUAACCUAAUCACCCUUAAUCUCCAUAACCCAUGAAUUCAAAAGGUGAUUACUCACUAAUCUCCAUGAUUCCUCUUAAACCCAUAUUGGAUUUUAGAUUAACCAUGUAGAGAAAUAGAUAAGAAAUCAACAAGAACACAAGAUGAAAGCAAUGAAAUCUGAAUCUAAAGAGGUUUUUUAUUAGUUCUUCCCUAGAAAAGAG